CUUUCUUUCUCUUUCCUUUUCGUCUCCACAGUGCAGACUCCAUAAUCCUAUCUCACAACUCUUUCAUCACUACCAAAUUCACGGAAUAUUACUCAACUGUAUCACAGAUGAGCCUUGAUUCUCAACAAUUAAACAUCCAUCCUGACCCUAUCUCAAAAUCAAAACUCAUGCAUCAUCAGAAAUCAAAAGCAAACCCUUCUUCGUUACCCUAGAUCUAGUUUCUUUGCUCCUGAAAUUCAAAUCAGGCCUUCAUCUCAUACUCUAGAAGAUGCAGGGACAUUUAAAGAUGAUGAUAAUGAUAUAUGGUCGAAUUACUUACUUUUUUCUAUUUAGGAUUGAUUAAUCUAAUUCUGAAUGUAGGGUCUGUUCAAAUUUCUGAAAUUUUUACUAAUUUUUAUUAUCAUUUACUUAGAUUUUGCAGACUAAAGAAGAAAUCAAUGGAGUAUUUUGCUAGAUUAGCGAAUAGGUUUUGUUCAAGUUUCAAUUAGCGAAUAGGAUUUUUCUUCUAGACUCUCUUUAUACCAUGUAAUCUAAGCUUUAUUAGUGUACGAUCCGAAAUUGGUUUAGGGUUUUUUAAUUCUGGAUUUAUUUUAUUUGGAAACCCUAACUUAUGGCAUAAUGGUGGUGGAGUUUGAACCUCAGCCUCCUAUCUUAAUUAGGUAGUUUUCUUUAAGUAUUAAAUUGUGUGAUAUUUAUUUGCUAACUUAUUCUUAGGAUUAACAUGUAUGUAUGGGUUUUUUUCUUCAAUAUCUAUCCCAACAAGAAUCUUUUCUCUUGAAGAAUGAAAGAAAAAUAGACUGGUUGAUUCACACUUUGAGUAUGCUAAAUUGUGAUUUUGGAUGAAUAAGCUUGUAUGUAGUUGUUGGACCAUAAAUUUCUGGUUGAGUCAGUUAGAUUGAUAUUGAUAUGGUACCAGGAUAUUAAAUAGUCUCAUCUUACAGAUGAAUUUCUUUCUGACUUUUGUAUAUGCAGAAUUGCGGUUGCAGAACUGGCAUCUUGCUCAAGAAAAUAGUAAGAUGUGUGAAUGAUCAGUUUAUUACCACAUUCCUUCUCAUACAAUUUCAAUUGCUUCAGAAUACUAAAUUAACUCUUUGUUUGAUGUUUGGUGAGAACUGAUUGUGUAUAGAUGAAUAGAGCUUGGGAUGGUCUUGGAGAAGCUCUUGAAGGUUGCAUCAACAAUAAGAUUCAUGGUUCAGGAAUUAAACUGUUGGAUCGUGGAUAUUCAAAAAAUCAGUAUCGAAGGAUGUUAUGAAUGGUGACCUUAUGUAUCCAACAAGUUUGGGAGUGAAACUGUUGGCUGGGAAUGUUUUGGAGACGCACUCUAUGGUGGAUAUGGGCAGGAGAUAACCUUUUCAUUUUCUUGAAUUCAUGAUGUUGUGUAGUCAUUCCUUGAUUGUUCAUUUAUUUCUUUACACAUGUCACCUUGCACUUCUUUCCAAGUUUUCAUUAAUGCAAGAUGUAGUAAUUAAGCUUCUAUUACUCAUGCCAGAUUUCUAUGUGGUGUUUUCUAGGUUGUGGAGCUUGAUUUUCUGUAUUCAAGUGAUGGUACCCGUAGAUGGUGGGAUAACGUUUACCGGAUAACUGUUGUAGCUGCUACUUGGGAUCAGACUGCUUUCAUCUUGAGUGUGCCCAAGCGUAAAUCUAGAUGAAACCCAAGAGACCCUAAGGACAUCUGCAUUUCCAAAUACCUAAGCUAAGGGUGGUAGCAGAUCUUCAUAUAGGGAAACCAUUGCAAGAGUUGCAGCUGGAUCUCAUUCCAAGAAAAUGUUAAAUCUAUAUUGCGCAACUGAGAUGAGUCUUGCGCUCCAUGCUUUCUAUACAAGGAAACAGACUCGCCGGGAAAGUUCAAUUUGGUGUUAGUCUGAUGCAGGCACUUGCUGUUUUAGAUCUUUGCUGCAAGUUGUUAGGGGACCAAUUCCUUCACAUCUUGGCAAUUUUUUCUUAUACGGGUAAAUUGUAACUAUAUGCCCAGACUCAAUGUUGGAAGUAGCAGCCGAUCUCCGUCGACAAGUAGCUGGCCGACUCCCUUGCUCAUUACUGUUGCAGGUGUACACACCCUUCUGCGAGUCCACUUACUUCUUCUAAUCCAGUUUCAAGGAGUGAAUUUUUUGUUCUCUCAAUGACUUGUGUGCAUGAAUUCAAGAUUUGACUACUUUUUUGUUUUUUUAUAUACCAAAGUGUCAACUGAAUUAAGUUAUGAAUUGUGCAACUAAUAUGAUGAUUUUAUUUGAAUGGUCAUUUGAGUAAUUUGAGUU